UACGUAGGGUGCGAGCGUUAAUCGGAAUUACUGGGCGUAAAGCGUGCGCAGGCGGUUCGUUGUGUCGGCGGUGAAAGGCCCGGGCUUAACCUGGGAAUGGCCGUUGAAACUGGCGAACUGGAGUGUGGCAGAGGGGGGUGGAAUUCCGCGUGUAGCAGUGAAAUGCGUAGAGAUGCGGAGGAACACCGAUGGCGAAGGCAGCCCCCUGGGCUAACACUGACGCUCAGGCACGAAAGCGUGGGGAGCAAACAGG
rnacentral:rRNA from 1 species